CUGAAGCCUAUCAUUAGCAUGAAUUGGAACCUGCACUCAAAGCAAAAGAGAAACCUCGUGUUGUUAGUUUUUUUUCCCUGCUUCUUUAUUUACAAUGAGUGAGUAGAACUAUAUCAACGUUUAAAGGGAAGUAAAACACACAUCAGGUUCAUUGUUGUGAAAAUAAUUCCAGUCAAGUCCCUGCUCAAAUCUCAAAGGAAUCUGAAGAACAAAAUCGUGUGGAUGAAGGUAUGGCAAAACUCGCGUGCAGAUCAGGAUGGCGGCUGCUGCACAAGAGAGGAGAUUUGUUCACCUGUCCUCCCACCGAUGCCCUGGCGCACUGCAUCAGUGAAGACUGCCGCAUGGGAGCAGGGAUCGCUGUGCAAUUCAAGAAGACAUUUGGUGGAGUAGAUGAGCUUCUGGC